CAGCAAAUAUAUACACACAAAAUAAUACUCUCUGUUAUCCCUAACCCCCCCACCCCCCGAAACUCUUCUCCGCCGACUUUUUUUUUCUUCACCGGAAAAUCUUCGAGUUCUUCGCCGGUGUUAUUUGCUUCGAUUGCAACUCCGUUUUCUUCUUCUUCAAUCAAAUCUGUGUGUGAUUGCUGUUUGCGCCGUCGCCGAAUCUUCAAAAGAGUUUUCGGUUUUUUUUCAUGAUCUGUGAAGAGUCUGAUCUGAUCUAACCCGUCGAUCUGAGAUAUGGAUAGGAUCGUUGGAGGUAAAUUCAAGCUCGGACGAAAAAUCGGUAGUGGAUCGUUUGGUGAAAUUUUUCUCGCUACGCAUAUUGAUUCAUUUGAGAUCGUCGCUGUCAAAAUUGAGAACAAUAAGACCAAACAUCCUCAACUUCUCUACGAGGCCAAGUUAUACAAUAUUCUCCAGGGAGGAAGUGGUGUACCACAUAUAAAAUGGUCUGGUGUGGAUGGUGAUGACAAUGUUCUGGUCAUGGAUUUAUUGGGUCCUAGCUUGGAAGAUCUCUUUGUCUAUUGUGACCGGAAGCUUUCAUUGAAGACUGUUUUAAUGUUGGCUGACCAGAUGAUUACCAGAAUCGAAUAUGUACAUUCUAAGGGCUUUCUACACAGGGAUAUUAAACCUGACAACUUUCUGAUGGGUCUUGGUCGGAAAGCAAAUCAGGUUUAUAUUAUUGAUUUUGGUCUUGCUAAAAGAUAUCGUGAUGCGACUACAAAUCGCCAUAUUCCUUACAGAGAGAACAAAAAUUUAACUGGAACAGCACGCUAUGCCAGUUGUAAUACUCAUCUCGGAAUUGAGCAAAGCCGGCGGGAUGAUUUAGAAUCUCUUGGAUAUGUUCUCCUUUAUUUCUUGAGAGGCAGCCUCCCAUGGCAGGGUCUAAAAGCUGCCACAAAGAAGCAAAAGUAUGACAAAAUAUGUCAAAAGAAGUUAUCAACUCCUAUUGAGGUUUUAUGCAAGUCUCAUCCUGUUGAGUUUGCUUCGUACUUCCAUUACUGUCAUUCAUUGACAUUUGAUCAGCGACCUGAUUAUGGAUUCUUAAAGCGCCUCUUUCGUGAACUUUUUACCCGUCAAGGAUAUGAAUUUGAUUACAUAUUUGAUUGGACCAUCCUAAAGUACCAACAGGCACAAACAAGUAAAUCACAGCAUCGGCAAGUUGGUGGUGAAAGUAGCCGAGCAAUUCCAAUGGAUGUUGAAAAGCGUCAAGUUUCUACAGGCAACAAUGGACCUUAUGUUGCUGAGGUAACUGAUCGCAUAAGGCCGAAUAAUCCUUCCAGUCCUGGAAUUCGGAUGCAAUUUAAGUCACCAACAAACAGGAAUUUAACUUCCGCCAAUCUUGAGAGAAAUGUAUUAAGUAGUGCUCAUAUGCCAUCUUCUUCAUUGGCUCCUGUUUUACCAAGAGCAAAUGCCACAAAACCUGUUUUACCCACUGAAACAACACAUGAUGGUGAUAAUGGAGGCAGCAGCUGGAUGUCCUCCUUGCGACGUAUUUCUUCUGCAAAGUGAUAAAAAGGAUAAGAUGAAGAUGAAGUUGGGGCAAGUGUGCCUUCAAAUUGGGCAGCUCAUACUUAUUUUAUGAUUACAAGCUGGUUCGGAUGACUAUGGUGGCUGAUCAUGGCCUGCUGCAAUUUCAUGAGUUCAAGAGGGUGGUGUGAAUUGAGCUGGACAUGAAAGCAGAUGGCGGCUGUUUGUCUUUCUAUUGGAGCUCGGGUUAGAUAUUUUUCCUAAGAUGACUAUAAACAAAUUGGUCCAUCCUUGCAUUAAGAUCAGGAUGGUUCCUGUCCGCCGAAAAAAUGAAGCACUAGAGACAUCUUUGUCUCCUAAUGUAAAAUAGAUCAUAUGCGAUUGUCAAAAAUUGUGCAGUUCCUUUUGUGCAUACAGUGGUGGUUAUUUUCUUCACUUGCUUCUUUACUUGCAAAGUUGCAUGUGUUGUAAUCUUUAUUGCUUAAUUUUGUGGUGAGCCAAUGGUUUGUUGCAAACAUGUUGAUAAUGGAAUUGGAUCUAGUACAGCAAUGAAAUUUUUGAUUAGUUCGGAAAUGUGAUAAACAAAUGAAAUCACUUUCUGUGUUCUCAUCAGAAGGAUUAUGAAGUUUUGAUGUACAGAUUGAUUUAUGGACUUUUCUUUCUCCACCACUCAUCCCACACUCUUACAUUAAAGUCUUAUCGCUCUUUUGAAUACUGUUUCCAUCUGGCCAAUAGGUGAGCUUGCCACCAGGUAAUGUUUUGUUGUUAGUUUUGAUUUGGUAAUUUCCUGUGAGUUCUCUGAUUUGCUCGAGAUGAUUCCCCUAUUAACAAUAAGCAGUUUUGACCAACCUUAGAUGUGCUUAGGCUGGCAUAUGUACUGUGACUAGCCUUCACACUUUCUUUUAAAACAAAAAGACUAGAUUCCAAACUUUUCUGUUAACAUAUUGUCCGUUGGCUAUUGAUCAAGUUAUUUGCAAUCAGCUUCUCAAUUAUUGUCAUCCUUUUGCAAUUUGCAGGACCCGUGAGAUGUGGUUUCUGUCGGUGUAAUGGUUCCGUUGGAUUCAAUAAACUCCAGAAGAACAGGAACUAGUGAUUGCGUUGUUUGGUUUGUUGAUUGCGCGAGGGAUCAAGUAUGUAAUGGACAAGUAUUCACUGGUUCCUCGGUACCAUUCUGCCUGAGCUUAUAUUCCUGGUCUCAAGUGUCUUUGCUUCUAGACUUGCUAGGUUCGCGAUGAAAUCAUGCUGAAAAACUUUUUGCCUUUGCAACUGUGAUCGAGUAAUGAAGCUAGCCUCUGAAUGAUGUAUGAACUGAAUAUCUAGUCCUAUUGGACUUGUCAGGACUUGAGACUGGGAGUUUCAACACCCAAAGUUCGUGCUGAUUUCAUUUUCAGCGAGGCUAUGGUGCACCAUCAUGGUGCUGGAAGAAUAUUUGGUUACACGUUUAAGUCCCAGGUUACAUAAAUAAUCAAGCUUCAAGAAAAAGUCGAAUCAUGGCGAAAACACCAGAGAAGGAGGAGGAAAGAAAGCGAAAUUCUCCAUUGAUGAACCUCCCUGUUCUUGAAGAAGAAACAGAGGGCAAAAAAAUGGAAUCAGAAAUUCCAGAAAGAGCUUUUUUGUCUGACUUUCCGAAGAAAUCAAGAACCCCGCGAAUCAAAAAGGCAGGAAGUUCUACUAAAUUGGCAAAACCAGAAUCUGGGCAUGAAGAAAAUCACAGUGCUUCAUUGGAAAAACUCAUCAUUAAUCUUGAUGACGACAACGACGAAGAAGAAGAAGAGUUGGAGACCCAAAUUGAUAAGAAAAUUGAUUCAUCACACUGGAGAAGUAGCUUUAAUAUGAAAAAUCAGAGUGAUUCAGUGAAAAAAAACACUAUUCUUGAUGACGACAACGAAGAAGAAGAAGAAAAAGAGUUGGAGACCCAAAUUGCAGAAAAAUACUUGGGUUUGAAAAAUAAGAGUGCUUUAGGGAAAAUGAACACCAUUCUUGAUGAAGAAGAAGAGUUGGAGAAAAUGGGAUCAAAAAGAAGAAAUCUUGAUGUUGAAUCAACAACCCCACAGACCCAAAUCGUACAAAAUUCAAAAAUUGGCUACAGCAUUGAUGGAAAAAAGUUACCAAAACCAGAAUUUGGUUACAGCAUUGAUGGAGAAAAGUUAUCAGAACGCCCCCAAAUUGAGGAAAUACUCGAUAUUAUUGGAGAUUGCAGUAAGCCUUUUGAGAAAAAGCUGUUAAAAUAUGAAGUUGACAGGAUUUCAUUUCACAGAAAUGAUGUGAAAAAUGGAAUUCUUCCGUAUCUGAACGAAGAUGAAACUGUCAAGCUUCAAAAGGAGGGGAUUCUAGUGAGCACUUACGAUGAAUUUGGGAAUCGUUAUGAGAUGAAAUUCGAGUCGUAUAAUAAUAGUUUCUACAGGCUUUGCAAUGGAUGGAAAAGGUUGUAUAAAUAUCAUGGGCUGAAGGAAGACGAACAUUGUUACGUUGAUGUUUGGAUGUUUCGACAUAAAGAAAAUGAUGGAAUAUGUUUUGCUGUGAUUCUGAAGAGGUAAAAGUUCUUUUGAUUAGUAGUUAAUCAUUGUCAUUAGAGUUAAUCUUGAUGAAUUAGAGUCUUGUAGUCUUUUGCAGUAAAAGUUCUUUUGAUUAGUAGUUAAUCAUUGCCAUUAGUGUUAAUCUUGAGGAAUUGGAGUCUUGUUAAUGUCUUUUGCAGUAAAAGUUCAGUUCUUUUUUUA